AGUGAACGCUGGCGGCAGGCCUAACACAUGCAAGUCGAGCGGAUGAGAGGAGCUUGCUUCUCGAUUCGGCGGCGGACGGGUGAGUAAUGCCUAGGAAUCUGCCUGGUAGUGGGGGACAACGUCUCGAAAGGAACGCUAAUACCGCAUACGUCCUACGGGAGAAAGCAGGGGACCUUCGGGCCUUGCGCUAUCAGAUGAGCCUAGGUCGGAUUAGCUAGUUGGUGAGGUAAUGGCUCACCAAGGCGACGAUCCGUAACUGGUCUGAGAGGAUGAUCAGUCACACUGGAACUGAGACACGGUCCAGACUCCUACGGGAGGCAGCAGUGGGGAAUAUUGGACAAUAGGCGAAAGCCUGAUCCAGCCAUGCCGCGUGUGUGAAGAAGGUCUUCGGAUUGUAAAGCACUUUAAGUUGGGAGGAAGGGUUGUAGAUUAAUACUCUGCAAUUUUGACGUUACCGACAGAAUAAGCACCGGCUAACUCUGUGCCAGCCGCCGCAGUAAGAC
rnacentral:rRNA from 1 species